GGUAUCUGGUCUGCUCCAUUAGUGGAAUGAAACUGUAGGGGUCUAAAUCCAUCUCCUGCAGCACAUAUUUGGCAAAUGCUCUGACCCAUGGGGGUCUUCUAUUCCAUGGUGGUCAUCAGGUAGGAUUUUUAGCUUUCACAUUACUGAUCAGGGCCAACUGUUUUUCCAGAACAUAGGAGCUUCCAUGGCAAUGGAUCUUGGACUGACAGAACCAUUAACACUUGCUCACAACCACAAACUUUCCUCUGAGGUGCUCACAGUGGUCUUGGGAGGCCCAUAGCUGGCAGGCAUGGCUUUUACCAUUUCUCUUUCCAGGCUCCUCCUUCUGUCAUUCUUCUUAACUGCUCAAUAAAGGGCUGUCCAGCUGGUCAGAGUAGAGGACACAUGACUCAUACACUCCUGAUCUAGUUCCUACAGUAAGUUCUCAUUUUAGUGGUUGAGAUGCUGCUAUCAAUAUCUGGAAAUUAAAUAAUGCAGACCACAGGGCCUGGAAGUAUAGCUCAGUGGUAGAAUACUUGUCUAACAUAGGCAAGGCCUUGGGUUCAGUCCUCAUUAUUUCAGAAAAACAAACAAACAAAAAUUCAUACCUCAAACUUGGACCUGAAUCUGAAGAAUGGGGAUUCCCUUAGGACAGAGGGACUCAGGAGGGAGGCAGGCCCCAUGGCUCUGCCAGGACAAAGGGAGCUGGGAAGGAGGAAGUGGUCAUUUUCCACUUCCCUUUGUGGCCCUUGCAUUGUUUGUGUGAUUGACAGGCCAGAGGUGAAGGGGCCCAAGGGGAUGGUCUUCUUUGCACCCUCUCGAUGACCUCUAGGGAUGCCUGUGGGCACUCCCAUUUUCCUGAUAACUCUGAUCUUCCUGUCCCUCUGAAGGCAAGUCCCACAUAUGCACAGACUUAGGGGGUCAGACCCAGCUUCCCUGUAGCAUGGCUGGUUCCUUUCUUGCUGUAUGGCCUUGGGGAGAUGAUGUGUGAUCUUAGUUUCUUGGGCCAUAAAACCGUGAUGAUGACCCUCCUUAUUUGGGCCGUGAGAUACAUCCCCAGGCCCAUUGCCCAUAGUAGGUGCUCCCUGAAGUCUUCCUCAUCCCUUGGUCCCAGAGGGAAGUGGCUGGACCCCAGGGUUCCUAUACUUUCUCAUUGUAGCAACUUCUCUGCUACCUGGUAGCUGCCUCCUUCCUGUCUUUCCUCCCACCAGGUGAGAAAGUUCAUCUCUUAUUCCUAGGUGAUUUACCAAUAUUUAGCAAGCCCAACACAAAGCAGUCUAUAGUCAGUGUUUGUGGAAGGAGUAUAUGUUCUGCUUGCUGGAAUGUCCCUUUGUCUCCUGCUCUGUCUGAUGAGAUUGAGACCCUGUGCCACACUCACCUCCCCUGAGAAUUCUUCCUUACAAGGCAGUUUCUACCCUGGGUAUAGCCGAGCACUGCAUGGGGUAGAACAUCCUCUGGGGUACUCCCAGCUGUUUCCUGGGGAUUACAGAGCAGACAGUCAUCUUCAUGUCUUUCGGUGAGGGGCAUUCCUUGGGUGAAUGUUGUAUUCCUGGCUCACCUAGAUGCACACAGGAGGGCUUCUCUUUUGCACAGAUGAAAAAGAUGCUGGGCCUUUGUGGGCCACAAGGUAAACCAGACAAAUAUCCUGACACUCAGGAACCACACUCUUAAAGGAGAUGAGGCACACCCAAGGUUACUAGUACAUAGGGCAAAAUGUGAGCUCAGCCUCCAAGAAGAAGGGAGUAGAAGGGAGGCAUGGGAUAAGUAGGUUUGCUGGAAGAUGGGUACAUGAUCCAGGUCUGUGCAAAAACUAUGGGCUAUGAAGAGAUCUUGUGCUUCUACACAUGUCCCUGACUCAGGUGUGUCAAACCUUGUGUGCAAGAACAGAUAUCCACUUGGGCUGUUCCAGGUAAGGGGGGAUUGUUAGAAGGCUGUAGAGGCUACUGCAUGGGCACCAGAAAGAACAGACAAGGUAUGUUUCUGUCUCUGAAGCCAUUUGCUGGUGGAUGUCAAACCAUACAAUUGGUUUGGAAUAUGGGGUAUUUCUGAUAAAGUUUAAUGUACACUCAACAUAUAAUCCAGCAAUUUCAUUCUUUGUAUUUAUCCAGAAGAAACAAAAGCCUAUAUCUUCCAGAUGUUUGUAAGUAUUCAGAGGAGCUUAAUUCCCAAACUGGAACAACUCAAAUGCCC
rnacentral:lncRNA from 1 species